rnacentral:rRNA from 1 species
AGAGCGAACGCUGGCGGCAGGCCUAACACAUGCAAGUCGAGCGCCCGUAGCAAUACGGGAGCGGCAGACGGGAUAGUAACACGUGGGAACGCGCCCUUCGGUUCGGAAUAACUCAGGGAAACUUGAGCUAAUACCGGAUACGCCCUUACGGGGAAAGAUUUAUUGCCGAAGGAACGGCCCGCGUCCGAUUAGCUAGUUGGUGAGGUAAUGGCUCACCAAGGCUCCGAUCGGUAGCUGGUCUGAGAGGAUGACCAGCAUCACUGGGACUGAGACACGGCCCAGACUCCUACGGGAGGCAGCAGUGGGGAAUAUUGGACAAUGGGCGCAAGCCUGAUCCAGCCAUGCCGCGUGGAUGAUGAAGGCCUUAGGGUUGUAAAGUCCUUUAACGGGAGAUAAUGACGGUACCCGUAGAAUAAGCCCCGGCUAACUUCGUGCCAGCAGCCGC